rnacentral:rRNA from 1 species
UACGUAGGGUGCAAGCGUUGUCCGGAAUUAUUGGGCGUAAAGAGCUCGUAGGCGGUCUGUCGCGUCGGCUGUGAAAUCCCGAGGCUCAACCUCGGGUCUGCAGUCGAUACGGGCAAACUGGAGUGUUGCAGGGGAGACUGGAAUUCCUGGUGUAGCGGUGAAAUGCGCAGAUAUCAGGAGGAACACCGGUGACGAAGGCGGGUCUCUGGGCAACAACUGACGCUGAGGAGCGAAAGCGUGGGGAGCAAACAGG